GUUUAGGCACUUUUGAGGCACAGCCUUCCCAGUCUCCCUGGGGAUUGGAUUUACCAUUCACCUUCUAAUAGCGACUGGGUUCAGAACCUUUUAACUCUGCCCCUCCCCCCGCACCCUAGUUUUGUCACUUUUCCUGUGUAGAUCUGCAAGGGUGACAGCACAAUGAUUUCCCACGGAAGGAGCCUGCCCCAGCCUUCUAAACUGAAUUCACCCAAGAAAGAGAAGAGUCAGUUUUGCAGGCACAGCCUCUCCGGGUGCCAGGGGCGGAUCAUUCAGUGAGGAGGAAGCCUGAAGCCCCUGGGGGAUCUCUGCUCUCUGGAGACAAGGAUCUUAGGUUUCACAAAGGAAUUUACUGAGCCAAGCACCCAUCUCAGCCGCCGGCAGGCUGGGGUUGUUUACCAGGGAUGAAAAAAUGUCGGCUCACUGAAAAGGAAUGCUUGGCGAGGAAAUGACCCCUGGAAACACUACCAGAUGGCUCCCCGGGGAGCCAGUUUGGUUUGGCAACAGAUCAGAAUCACCAACCUGGGCUAGUCACACUGGACGGGGCAGGAUCCACGGAGCUUUGGGGCAGGACAGCUGUCCUCUUUUCUAGAUGUGAAUGCAAGCAUCUACUUCUAAACUUCAAAUCGUCAAUGUGGCAAAACCAGCCAUGGGUUCCUGGCUGCAGUUCUAGAUCGUGCAGAAACAAUCCUCAUCACUACUAGAUUCUUAGCCUGCCACGACCAAGACCACACAUUGCAAUUCCAAUCAACCGGAAUUUCUCUUCUCAAAGUUCAGUGACUGGAAGUAGGAAAACAAGGCGUGACCAGAGUUGUUUCUUUCCGAGAGCAUCAAUGAAGAAGGCCUUUUCUACGGGUUUCUGCCUGUUGCAGGUUGAACGACAUCUCUAUAAAAUUCUUAUUUUGAAAUCCCAAUCCCUCAAGCUUUAGAAUGUGAACUUAUUUGGAGAUAAAGUAGUUAAAGGGUUAAGUUAUAUGAAGCCACCAGGGACGACUCUAAUUCAAUGUGACUGAUGUCCUAAGAAGAGAAAAUCUGAAUACAGACUCAUACAAGGAAAGCAUUAUAAGGAUUUAAGGAGCAGUUACUUAGGAGGCUGAAGCAGGAGAAUUGCUUAAUGCCAAGCAUUUGAGGUCAGCCUAGGCAAGACACAUGGAGGGUUAUGGGGAAUAGAUCUUUCUCCACAGAGGAAGCUCUUACUUAGUGAGACCUUGAGGAUGGUUUCCAACCUUUGAGGACUAAGGGAAAGCAAUUUUCUAGUAUUCAAGCCAUAUGUGAUCCUUUCUUCUAGGAGUGCUACCAAUGUUAACAAACUAUCAAGAUUCCAUGUUCCUGACUUGUAACUGCAUCACUUCCAUCUGUACCUAUGGUUCAAAGGUCAUUUCCUUGUCUGUGCAUCUUCUGCAAAUGCCCUUUCUGCUUAGUCAUGUUGAUUUGGGUCAAAGGAGUCUGGAAUGACUUCAUAUUAACCAAUCAUAUAUGCUUCAACUCUGUUUUGAAAAAUCAAACUCUGAGGCAUUAGAUCUUAAAACUUUAAUGUAGAAAUGGAAGAGAGGACGGAACUCAAUUGGUGACAUUCACUCACUAUAGGAGACAGAAAUAGUCAGCAUAACAUUGUGCUAUGCCUCUUAGCAAGAGGAAUAGUCAGGUCCUUUCCUCUCUGAGUCAGACUCAUGGCUUUCCCUGAAUCAGAAUGUUAUGGCCAUGCUGAGUGAGGGCCAGAGCUCUGAUCUCAAAAGUAUGGAAGCUUCCUCUUCCUCAUCUUAGAAUGCUGCCUAAAGACUAGGAACAGAAGCUUCCAGAAUCCUGGAAGACAAGAGUCUUUAUGGAGGAGACCAUAGUUGGUGCAGCAACCAGGAAGCUUAUGGGUGAACUCCUCAGUUAGCAGACAAAUGGGACUUAAUGCCUGUUCUUGUAUAGUUUGUUACCUAGAUUUUUUUAUUUCAUAUGUAUAUAUGUAAUAUAUACAUAUGUCUAAAUAUGUAAGUACAUAUCAAUAUAUAUACACAUAUGAAAGCUGUAUAUAUUUACAGCCUUCAUAGUUAGAAAACCCAUAUUCCAGGACACACAAAGAUAGGAUGCAGUUUAAGUUGUAGAAUCCACAAAUAAAGCUCUGUAAGGUUGAACACAUGCUGUUCAGGCAUUGUCUGCAGUCACUUCUGUGUUAUAAGACAGAUGUGAGUAUUGGCUACAAAGACCGUGUGGCAAUCAAGACCUAAAUACAGUCUGCCUUCUGUAUCCUUGGUAACCGUAGAAUGAACACAUUAGAAAAAUAAGUGCGUCAGGGCUGAGCAUAUACAGAGUGUUUUUCUUACCAUCAACCCCUAAAUGACAGAAGCAAACAACUGGCAUUAGCAUUUACACUGUAUUAGAUAAAAGUAAUUAUAGAUUAAUUAAGAGUGUGGGAGAGUACACCGGUCCUAUGCAGGCACUAUGGUGAUCUACAUGAGGGAUCUGAAAAUCUAUGGGGUGGUGGUCUUGUAGGAUUGGAUACAUUUCUUAUCCAGUCCUGUACAGUCAUUUCCAACCACCGUUCUAUGCACAGACAGUUCUUCAGCCUAACAUGUACACAAUAGUGAAACAUAGAUGAACAAGUCGGGAUGCUCAGCCAAGGUUCAGGAAGAAAGUCAGUCAUGCUUUCAAUGACGUAAGUAAGUUUCAGGUGUUCUGCUAUGCAUGACAGAGAAUAUGUUUUCAUGGGUUCUAUUAAUUUGUUUUUAAACCUUGUAUUAGCUUACAAAGAAUUAGACUUCAUCAUAGCAUUUUUGAUCAAAAAUUGUAUUUGUUGUUUCUCCCUGUUUCUUGCCCAUCUUCCUUCCUCUCCUGUGUCCUCGGACAUCCUGUAGCCAUGUCACAUGCCAUGUAUGUAUGUAUGUAUGUAUGUAUGUAUGUAUGUAUGUAUGUAUUCAGUCAGUCAGUCAGUCGGUCAGUGUCUCACUGUAGCUCUGGCUAGUUGGGAACUCUUGAUAUAAAUUAGGCUGGCCUCAAACUCACAGAGAUUCACCUGCCUCUGCCUAUAUAGUACCCAGGUCACAUGUGACCUUUUGCCUGCCACACACAACACUCCUUUUCUUUUCUUUUUUUUUUAAAGAUUUAUUCAUUUAUUACAUAUAAGUACACUGUAGCUGUCUUCAUGUACACCAGAAGAGGGCAUCAGAUCUCAUUACAGAUGGUUGUGAGCCACCAUGUGGUUGCUGGGAAUUGAACUCAGGACCUCUGGAAGAGCAGUCAGUGCUCUUAACUGCUGAGCCAUCUCUCCAGUCCAACACCUCUUUUCUUAACAUCUGUUGUUGUCUUCUGGUGAUCUCCUACCUAGUCAGCUAACCCUCUUCUAGAUCACUUCUUUACUUAACUUCCAUUUAAGAAAAAAAAUCAUUUUAAUGUCUGUCUUUGAAAAAAAUUGACUUUGAGAACCUAAUAUUAACCUUUAUUCUUAUGAAUGGCCACAUUUCCCCAGAUAACAUAUUUAAAUAACACAUAUAGAAUAAAUAACUUUUAAACAAUACUUUAUUUUCAGUGUGCAUGCAUAUGUGUGUGUGUACACACAAGUACAGGUGCCCACAGAGGCUGGAAGAGGGCACUGUACCCCCUGAGCAGGAGGAGUUGCAAGCUACCUUGCGGUGGGUGUUAGGAACCAACUAAAAUCCUCUGCAAAAGCAUCAAGUACUGUUCACCACAGAGCCGUCCCUUCAGCCCCUCAUUAUAUAUUUACUUAUUUAUUUAUAGGCAAUGUAUCUAUCAUAUAUUCCAGGCUGGCAAAUCUGAUAUGCAACGUAAGAAUUAUGUUUAACUUUCGAUCCUCCUGCCUCUACCUUUGAAGCAUCAGGAUUGCAACCGUGUACCACUCUGCCCAGCUUACAUAGGGCUGUGGGUUUAACAUAGGACUUUGUGCUACUAGACACUUUACGUGAGCUGCAUUCUCGUCUGAAAACAAAUGAUUUGAUAGAGCAAAAGCUCACCAUUAAAUGCUGCUGAAUUCUG